AUUGAACGCUGGCGGCAGGCCUAACACAUGCAAGUCGAGCGGAUGAGGAAAGCUUGCUUUUCGAUUCAGCGGCGGACGGGUGAGUAAUGCCUAGGAAUCUGCCUGUUAGUGGGGGAUAACUCGGGGAAACUCGGGCUAAUACCGCAUACGUCCUACGGGAGAAAGUGGGGGAUCUUCGGACCUCACGCUAACAGAUGAGCCUAGGUCGGAUUAGCCAGUAGGUGAGGUAAUGGCUCACCUAGGCGACGAUCCGUAACUGGUCUGAGAGGAUGACCAGUCACACUGGAACUGAGACACGGUCCAGACUCCUACGGGAGGCAGCAGUGGGGAAUAUUGGACAAUGGGCGAAAGCCUGAUCCAGCCAUGCCGCGUGUGUGAAGAAGGUCUUCGGAUUGUAAAGCACUUUAAGUUGGGAGGAAGAGUUGUAAGCUAAUAUCUUGCAGCUUUGACGUUACCAACAGAAUAAGCACCGGCUAACUCUGUGCCAGCCGCCGCAGUAAAAC
rnacentral:rRNA from 1 species